rnacentral:rRNA from 1 species
UUGUACACACCGCCCGUCACACCAUGGGAGUGGGUUUUGCCAGAAGUAGUUAGCCUAACCGCAAGGAGGGCGAUUACCACGGCAGGGUUCAUGACUGGGGUGAAGUCGUAACAAGGUAGCCGUAUCGGAAGGUGCGGCUGGAUCACCUCCUUU